GGCCCGCCUCAGUGCCCGGGGUUAAAGGGGAUCCGGGAAGACGGCUGCUGCUGUUGCUGCGGCUUACCGGUCUGUGCUUUUGAUCUGUGCCGGACCGGUGAUGCCGAUGCUGCAGUUAGGGACGAGGAAAAAUUGGGGUUGAGCCCCAGCCGAGCCGCGGACUCGCGCUCUUCGGUCCCCCGGACCCGCCCCACCUGAAGAAAUGAGUGGUGGCUUGGCUCCAAGUAAGAGUACAGUGUAUGUAUCCAACUUGCCCUUCUCCCUUACAAACAAUGACUUAUACCGGAUAUUUUCCAAGUAUGGCAAAGUUGUGAAGGUUACUAUAAUGAAGGACAAAGAUACUAGGAAAAGUAAAGGAGUUGCAUUUAUUUUAUUUUUGGAUAAAGACUCUGCACUUAACUGCACAAGAGCAAUAAACAAUAAACAGUUAUUUGGUAGAGUGAUAAAGGCAAGCAUUGCUAUUGACAAUGGAAGAGCAGCUGAGUUCAUCCGAAGGCGAAACUACUUCGAUAAGUCUAAGUGUUAUGAAUGUGGGGAAAGUGGACAUUUGAGUUAUGCCUGUCCUAAAAAUAUGCUUGGAGAACGUGAACCUCCAAAGAAGAAAGAAAAAAAGAAAAAAAAGAAAGUUCCUGAACCAGAAGAAGAAAUUGAAGCAGUAGAAGAAAGUGAAGAUGAAGGUGAAGAUCCUGCUCUUGACAGUCUCAGUCAGGCCAUAGCAUUCCAGCAAGCCAAAAUUGAAGAAGAACAAAACAAAUGGAAACCUAGUGCAGGGGGUCCCUCAACAUCAGAUGAUUCAAGACGCCCACGGAUAAAGAAGAGUGCUUACUUCAGUGAUGAGGAAGAACUUAGUGAUUAAAGUUGUAUUUAUUAUCACAACACAAGUUGAACAUCCGUAAUCUGACAAUGCAAAGUCUAAAAUGUUCCAUUAUCCAACACUUUGAGCCACCAGCAUGAUGCCUCAAGUGGGAAUGCUAUACUGUGAGACUUCGUUCAUGCACACAGAAAAUUACCUCAAGGUGGUUGCAAGGUGA